UGCUGAUAAUGUUGAUAUUCAGGCAAAUAAGAGUAGCGACUGAACAAAGUUGAAUACAAGUUGGGAAUGCUUUGCUUGCUGAGAGGUCUCUAGUUUGCUUACGUGUUAACUCACAUCUCAGCUAAUGAGAAAAAACAAGUAUUGGGAGUUAUUCAAAACGAAGCUCUGGGCUGCAUGCAGCAAACACACAGCUCUGAUACUGAUUGUUAAAAAUACUUUGUUCUCUACCUUAGGAGUUUAGGAAUUAGCUGUUUAUUAUCGGGGAUCUUUCUGAACAUCCUUCCCAAGUAAAUAAGGAAAUCCUUCUUAAAAGAGUCUGAAGAAGUGUUUGUUAAACCUUUUUGUUCCCAGACACUCCAGUUCUCCUCUCGCACACCGAUGUCAGCUUGAGUUCAACCUGAAAAAACCGAGCAUGGCAAAGCAAAAACCCAAGCCCUGAGAGCAAACACCCUGCAGCUCAGUGAAGCACGCAGCAGUUUGCUUUCAGUCCACUAUUGCUAUAGUUAUAUUUUUCAGUUAAACAUUACACAACUUUGGAGUAGGAAUGGUGAAAAUAAAGGCGUGUUGACCCAGGAGCUUCACAGGUCCCCUCCAUGCAGCAGUCGGGCCACAGAGCUGUACUGAUCCUCGGUUUGCUGGUAGAUAUGGGGAGAUUCUGCUCCUCACUGCAGAAAGACUCAUUUUUCAGGGCAGAAGGAAAAUGCAUUUGCUAUUCAGCGUCACUGAAGACACAGACUGAAGAUCCACGUAAGCAAUAAGGUAUUUCUGCACCUCCUGCAAGACAUUUAUGCAACACCUUCUAUAAUAUUAAAGUGUGUGCAAUUUUAUCACUACUGUGAUAUCACUGGCGUGUUCCCUGCAUUCCAGUGUCUCCCUUCAGGUUUGCUCCAAUUGACUGAUAGCCCAGCAACAUGCACCAGUAAUUCAGCUUCCCCUCCCAGUCUGCACCAUCCUGC
ensembl:lncRNA